GACGAACGCUGGCGGCGUGCCUAAUACAUGCAAGUCGAACGCAAAACUUUCACCGAAUGCUUGCAUUCACGAAAGUUUUGAGUGGCGAACGGGUGAGUAACACGUGGGUAACCUGCCCAGAAGAGGGGGAUAACACUUGGAAACAGGUGCUAAUACCGCAUAAUAACAAAAACCGCAUGGUUUUUGUUUGAAAGAUGGUUUUGCUAUCACUUCUGGAUGGACCCGCGGCGUAUUAGCUAGUUGGUAAGGUAAAGGCUUACCAAGGCAAUGAUACGUAGCCGAACUGAGAGGUUGAUCGGCCACAUUGGGACUGAGACACGGCCCAAACUCCUACGGGAGGCAGCAGUAGGGAAUCUUCCACAAUGGACGAAAGUCUGAUGGAGCAACGCCGCGUGAGUGAAGAAGGUUUUCGGAUCGUAAAACUCUGUUGUUAGAGAAGAACGUGUGUGAGAGUAACCGCUCAUGCAGUGACGGUAUCUAACCAGAAAGCCACGGCUAACUACGUGCCAGCAGCCGCCGCAG
rnacentral:rRNA from 1 species